GUAUUUUAUGUUUAAAGGCACAGAGGGCCAAUAAAAAGGACAUUCUUUUACAGUAUUUUAUGAUGAGAAACAUAGAACCUUGAAAGAACACAUACAAAACAGCUGUGCAGCUGCAGCAGCAGUCUCCGUCACCGAAGAGUGAUUUUCUUCGACAGAUUGUGUUCGCUCAAGGCCUACACAAGGUGCACAGGAGGGUUUAAAAAUGGAAUGAAUGUGCACAUGCUUUGAACAAGCCAGCAGCAACCCAUGCCAAGUUUUAUUCAAUAAUGAUCCUUCCGCAGGUUCACCUACGGAAA
rnacentral:misc_RNA from 1 species